ACCCGGCCUUGGCCCGCGCGCGGUUUCCGGGGUCCGGCGCGCCGGGGACCCACAGGCGAGGCGAGAGAAAGGGGUUGGCUCGCGGGGACACCUACCUGCGCGGCGCGGGGCUGUGGCGCCGGCCACCAUUACCCCGCGCCCCUCCUCUUGCCAGCGCGCACGCAGAUGGCGGGGUGGCCUGGGGAGGUCUUCGGGUCCCUUCCUGGGAACGCAGGGCCAAGUUGUGCUCCGAUUCCACGCCCCCCCCACCCACGUCGGGCACACGCAGCCCUGAGUGAGGGUCCAUGCCCUGCCUUUCACGCUGACCACAGCCCCUAGGCUUGGCGCCUGCCGGGAAGGGCCGCAAUGGCUCAGGGACCCCUGCCCCCACUACCAUCCUGCCCUGGGGGGACAGGCUCUAGAACACUGCGUGGGGCUCAGAGUGGGCCUAGCUGUAAAAGGACAGGGGUCCUUCUCCAGCCACGCCCACUCCCGGGUGCCCUGGCUGUCAGCAGCCUCUCACCACAACCGCAGGGUGAGAAGCCCAGAGAACAGUCCAGGAGUAGCCCUUCUGUCCUUUACCACGUCCGUGUGCCCAGCACGGGCAAAUCAGUAGCCACGCAAUAAAUGAAGUGCGGUGUUGCAGCUCUGGGCCUCUCUGCACCUGCCCUGACCUCAGCCUGUCCAGCCCAGCCUGGGGAUCUGCACUUAGGUUUGCAGCCUCCUGGGUCCCUGCCCGGUGCUCCUCAGAGCCGGAGCCUGUCUGCCGCAGGGAUGGCUUAGAGGACCUCCUACUGACCUUCUUGAUAAUUCAAGGAGGCCUUAGGCCCCUCUGCCCCACAUCCUCACAGAUAAUAGUAAUAAUAGUCCCAGCCCGCAUCUAUUGAGCACAGCUGUGUGCUGGGCUCUGUUGUUAAGUACUUAAUUACAUUAACUCAUUUGAUGUUCAGGGCUCUAUGAUGUAGACAGUAUUGUUAUUCCCAUCUUAUACAUAGGGGAAUGAGGCACAGAGAGGGCAAACAACUUGCCCAAGGUCACACAGGUGGUACGUAGAGGCCUCGGGAUUCAAAUCCAGGCAGUUGGGUACAGAAGCCCUCCUCCUACCCACAUCCUGUCCCAAGCCACCCUUGGCUGUUUCCUUCUGCUCUUUCACAAUUGCAUACCUUGGCUCCUGUGGCCCUCCCCACUCUAUAGACCUCCUGUUUCCCACCUCCUGAACUCCUGCCCCCAUCUUAAGACCCCAAGUCACUUCCCCUAGGGAGCAUUCUUGGUUGCCCCAGGUAAUGUGUGCUGAACCCUGCUGUGUGCCCUUAGCCCCUUUCCCAGCAUUGCACUGCCGCUGGGGUCGCUGGCACACAGCUGUCUCUCUACAGGGCCCUUGCUCUCAGCCCAGUUAUCCUGCUCAAAGCAGGGUGCCCCCAUUCCUAUUUGUGAAAUGAAUGUCUGGAACUGUCACGGCAAGAGUCUGCAGAAGGUUGGGCGGUUGUCAGGACAGAUGGUUGCAGGUUAGGGAUGAAGGGUGAUUGGAACUGCAGGCAGGGGAGGUAGAAGGAGAAAGAGAGCAAACAUCUCACCUUCUGCUAACCCCUCUAGGUGGCUCAGUGCUCCACACGGUGUGACUUAGCCUCUAGGUGAAUCUCCAGAAGGAUGGACAGUGGGUAAGAGGACAGAAGGUGCCCUAGCGGGGGAAGGCCGGGGAGCAGGAGGAGGCAGAGAGAGGCACAGGGAGUGUGGAGGCGGGAGGAUUUGCUUUUCUCACUGGGCACUACCCCAGCAACAUCCCAGCAGGCUAAGAGGCUGGAUAAGCCUCCUCUGCUGGUCUUCAUUUUGAAAUUCCUCCUUAGAAAGUCCUCACAAGUGGAAUUUUCUGGGUUGACUAUGCCAUAAAAAUUCACAUCUGCUUUCUAAAAGUUGCCAAACUGAAUGUAGUUGUGAAGAGUUUGGCGUUGAAAGCCAGUGUCAGCAUUUGAAUUCCAGUUGUACUACGCGCUAGUAGGGUGACCCUGGACAAGUCUUUUAACCUCUCUGUGCCUGUUUCCAUCUGUGAAAUGGAGACACAUCUUCAAAUGAGGGCUAAGAUGAUUACAUGAGUUAAACCAAGUAAAGCCCUUAGCUCAAGGCCCAGCACACAUGAGGGUUCAAUAGAUGUUAGCUGUUAUUAUCACUGUCAUUGGACAUUCCAAAUAUCCUCUUAUUUGCAGCUCUUAUCAUUUAUUAUUUAUUUAUUUAUUUUUGAAACAGGGUCUCACUUUGUCGUCCCCCAGAGUACAGUGGAGUACAGUGGCGGCUCACUGCAGGCUCAAUUGCUCUUAUCUUGUAAAUGCUUCCUGUGUCCUUAGUGCCUGUGCAUGAUCUCUUUUCAUCUCCAAAACAAGUAGUUUUAUUCUCUCCAUUUCACAGAUCAGGAAACUGAGGUUUCAUAAAUUGCCUGAGGCCACUCAAUUCCCAAGUGACUGAGCCAGGACUUGACAGGAGUUCUGACUCUGAAGCUGUUUCUUCCAAUGAUUCUGUUCUGCCUCGUCUUAUCUCUCUAGGAAAGAGGUGGGCUGUUUUAAAGCUCAUUGUCAGUUGCCAGAUCGAGGACUCUGACUAUCAGGAGUACAGAGCAUGCCCUGUAGAAAAUGUAUUACAGAAUGAAUCCUGCCAGGGCUACCACACUGCACAACCUCAAGGGUGCCGUGCAUGCUGCAAUCUAUCAGUUGGUGGUCCCUGGAGUUGGCACAGUGUGCCAGUACUUGGUGGCCCUGUCUCCUGCCUCUCUUUUUCUUUUCUUUUGUUGAGACAGAGUCUCCCUCUGUCACCCAGGCUGGAGUGCAGUGGCAUGAUCUUGGCUCACUGCAAUCUCGGCCUCCUGGGUUCAAGCAAUGUUCAUGCCUCAGCCUCCUAAGUAGCUGGGAUUACAGACGUGUGCCACCACACCCAGCUAAUUUUUAGUAUUUUUAGUAGAGACGGGGUUUUACCGUGUUGGCCAGGCUGGUCUCAAACUCCUGGCCUCAAGUGAUCUGCCUGCUUCAGCCUCCCAAAGUGCUGGGAUUACAGGCGUGAGCCAUCGCACCCAGCUAUGCCUCUCUUUUUUCACCCCACAUUCUCCGUUUACAGGUGCCUAAACAUAUCCAGUGCCUUUCACAGUCUCAAUGCUGUUAAAUUAAAACAAAGUCACUUUUGAUUCAUGCUUCACUUUUUAGAGACAGACAGCAUGGCUCUUAUUAUAGUUACUUAAAGAUCUGGAACUGGCCAGUGGAGUCUGAGAAGCUUGGGCUGUUGCCAAAAUACAGACUUGGGCAUUUCUGGCCAUGCUUUCCCUAAGAAAAUGCUGGAGCUGGAGAACCAUAUAGAAAUUCAUCAUACUGCUUGCAAAGUCACUUUUGACUGGAUUUUGCUAUGUUUCUUGGUGUCAAGAUGUCCAGUCCUUGGCAGAGACAGCAGAAUUUGUUGUUUUGUAAAUAAAACCUGGCUUUACAAGCAACAAAACAGCUCACUAAUGGUAAAUUAAGCACAUAUUGUCUUCCAGAACCUUCCUGAGCCUAGAGAAUGUAAAUUAUGACCUACGCUUUUGAAAUGCUGAUUGGAAAUGCUGCACUAAUAACUAUCUGUCUCGCCCACAGAAAUUAUCUCCCACAUUGGGCUGGGCUCCAGAGACAUGGUCUGAAAUUCACCACCCCCAGUGCCAGUGAUGUUUGCAUCCAUUUCUUCUUUUCCAGUCACUUGUGGGAUUUUCUUUUUAUCCUGGCAUCUGUAAAGGCAGAAUCUCUACACAGAGCCUGAGGACAGCUCAUUCACUGCAUUUCCCCAGUGUCAAACCCAGAGUGACACACUGCAGGUGUCCAGAAAAUGGCAGCCAAAGGAAUGUGUGAAAGAGGCUCCUGCACCAGCAAUGUGCUGCAUACUUUCUAUCCACCUAUCCAGAUCCAGUCUCCAUCCCCCUACUCUAAGGAUGAUGUCACCCGGCACCCUGCCUUCCAGCGUCUGUUAGAUUUGGGUGAUAGGAAGCACUAACUGGAGAUCAGAGGAUGGGAGGAGAGUGAAGACCCGGCAGUAUUUAUCCACUCUGCCAGGGUCACUUCAGGUUGGCUGCCUCCCUCGGCUGAAGAUGUCAGCUCAGUUCCUGUUGGAGUCCCUGUCCUGCACUUGUCUCUUCCUUCUUCCUGCAAGCCUAGGGCUAGUAACAGCUCCUGAGGCAUGGCCGUCCCACCGUGUGGCACCAUCCCUUAACCCUGUCCACACCUUUGUGUUAAACUCUCAUCAGUUACCCUGCUUGAGGGUGCCAUCUGCUUCCUGCUGAGUCUGACUGAUACAGAAACGGAUGCAUCAGAUACAUCCUCACUGCAAACUCAUACUAAUGGAAAAAUGUGCAUAUAUUUCAGAAUGUGCACAGAUGAUCUACUUUUGAAAAUCACUGUUUUUCCACUUCGUUCUUCCAAUUAGCACAGCUGGCUAGCCUUCGCGGAAAUCUCUCUUUAUCCCCUAAACAACAGAAUGAGUCCCUACUUCCUCCCUCGGUUCUAGCGCCAGCUCAUCUCAGUCUCUGCUCAGGCCCAAGCCUUCUCUUGCUGAUCCACCCCUGUCCUGUGCUUCCCGUCACCAUGAGCUUUCUAGAGCGGAGCACGCGGCUGCCGAAUCAGGUCGGUAACUUUCCUUCUGGGAAAUAAUUGCCGAUGCUGAGUCAAGCACCUCUCAGGACAGUUUCAGGCAGAAAGAGGCUGGUUUUCUUUCCUAAGAGUUAUUGUUUCUGGCAACGACCACACUCCAGCAGGCUCAGGCCUGAGCUGAUGAAUGGGACAACCUGAUGACCACCACAAAGUUGCGUCUGCUCCCAUCCAGCUAAUCCGAGGGCUCUCAGACAGACUGUGACUAAUGGGGACAUCCUGGGCCUUGGUUUCUGCUUCUUUAAAAUGGGGUUAACAAUGAAGAUUGGUGUAAGAAUCACAUAUAAAGGUGCUGUCAAGAAAUCUGGUUGAAGGCUGGACAUGAUGGCUCAUGCCUGUAAUCUCAGCACCUUGGGAGGUUGAGGUGGGAGGAUCAC
rnacentral:lncRNA from 1 species